AACGAACGCUGGCGGCGUGCUUAACACAUGCAAGUCGAGCGAGAAAGGGAGCUUCGGCUCCUGAGUAAAGCGGCGCACGGGUGAGUAACACGUGGGUAACCUGCCUUUCAGUGGGGGAUAACAGUUCGAAAGGGCUGCUAAUACCGCAUUCGUCCACACGGUCACAUGUCUGUGUGGAGAAAGAGGCGCAAGUCUCGCUGGAAGAUGGGCCCCGNGGUCCAUUAGCUAGUUGGUGGGGUAAAGGCCUACCAAGGCUUCGAUGGAUAGCUGGUCUGAGAGGAUGAUCAGCCACACUGGGACUGAGACACGGCCCAGACUCCUACGGGAGGCAGCAGUGGGGAAUAUUGGACAAUGGGCGCAAGCCUGAUCCAGCAAUGCCGCGUGUGUGAAGAAGGCCUGCGGGUUGUAAAGCACUUUCAGUGGGAGAACAGAUUCGGGUCAAUACCCCGGAGCCCUGACGUUACCCACAGAAGAAGCACCGGCUAACUCCG
rnacentral:rRNA from 1 species